GAAGGGAAAUUCUUUUUCGGGUUGAAAUGUAGGGUUCAGUGAGUUGAAAAUUCCCCUUCGGCCAUGGGUUCUACCGACGGAAACUGAAAUUAUAUUUUCUGGCCUGAUAAUACCUACAAGGAUAGCCUUGCUGCAAUAUCCACCCUAGUUCCACUGCUGCCUUGACACAAUGCCGACACAAGAUACGAGAAUCAUUCUGAAGAUUUACGAUCGCAAAAUGGCAUGCCUGAUGCGAUUCAUAUGAUCUAUCGAUGCAGUGCUGUGCCCUAUUUAGAUUUCAACAGUCCAAUCGCCUAAUGCACGAAUAAUUUUAUGGGCAUUUUCACAAUCAUCUUUAAAUUUCCUGGUCCUUUUGUACACUAAUAGCUACCAAGCAAAAGUGGACCACUGAUUCUGCAGAAACUUGUCGGUAUAAUAUAACAUGAACAAGUUUGACGAAGGUCAGUGUGACCUUUAACUCAGGGAAUUUGGAAGGAAAUAUUAAUUUCGUACCAAAUACUUCAUGAUUGGUAAUACCGGUUGGUUCAUCGCAGACGUAUUGAAGGAGAACAUCGCAUACACUGUAAAAAAUACGUUUUAAAACUUCAAAUUUGGCAAAUUUCCACAUGUUGUGUAGCAUGACGUCUCUUACAGGUUUCGUUCUAUGACUCUACAUGAAUUCAUACGACGUGUUGAAAAUCACUACGUUCAGAGUGUGUAAAAAAGGACAUACGCUGUACAUAGUUAAAUUCCCCAGACAGCUAACAAGCGGAAGUGGACCAUUAAUUUUGUGGAGACUUAUCAAUUUAAAAUAACAUUUACGAAUUUAAAGAAGGUCAGUGUGACAUAAACUCAGCGAAUUUGGAGGGAAUAUUAACAUCCUACCAAAUACUUCAUGUAAUACCGUUUGAUUCAUGGCAUACGUGUGGAAGGAAAACAUCGCAUAGAGCAACUGCAAGUUUCAAUAUAAUUUCUGACAUACUCUAUGAAAGUAUAGUGACUGAUCGAAUCUAAUAAGGUUCCUUAAGAUCAGGUUUUACAAGGACAGUUUCAAGCUUUGGUCACAAGGUUGUGAUUAUUUUAUAAAUUAAGUUGUAUCAUGAACUUGAAGAACCGCGGCAAACCGCGAGAUUUACUUCAGAAACUUGAAACGGCGGCGUACUGCUAAUUGCAGCGGACAUGAAGACAGGGGCAGACUGCACUGCUAAUGUUGAAAUAGAAAUUGCGGAGGACUGCGAGAUUAACUCCGGACUGAGAAACGGCGGCGAACUGCGCUUGCUGUGUAAAAGGUCCAACCUUUUAUGUGAAGGUGGGUGAACUGAGGUACCACCCUCUCACACGGGUCCUUCCAGAAUAUCCGACUCCCCUUAGGAGGUUUAAAGCAUCUUCUGAUGUCCACGCGGGAUCAAUAUUUUGUCUUUGGACUACAAUUGUUGAACUCCAGGAUAAAGGGGAUGAGUGUCUUGUAGACGAGUGGAAUGAGUGAUGAUAAAUGGUGCAGGAGUUCAAUCUCCUUUAUUUCUUAAGUCUCUUUUUUCUAUUUUCUUAAUAGUAUUAUUGAUCUUUAUACAAUUCAUAUUGAAGGUCACGCAAUACGUGACAGUACACGAUAAGAAUAGAAAUUGGUAACAUGGAUGAGGAUAGAUAAGGAAACAAGAGAGAGAGAGAAUUGGAAAAGAUAGAGAGAGUGAGAUUAGUUCCUUUGAUAAAAUCUUCCUUGAUAAUAGAAGGUCACGCAAGACGUGACAAUUUGGUGGAAAAUGAUUAUUACUUACUUUGGCUUAUAAUUGAUUUGCCUCGUACUCCAUUCCAAUAGUAUUUCCUGAGUCUUUUGGUGAAAGGAUCUGGUUACCUGAAGAUCCUUUUGUAUGGAAUACAAUAUAUUUUCCAAAGCGAUGUGUACUGGGCUCUUAUGCUGAAUUAUGAUGUUAAUUGUCCCUUCUAAUAGAUGAAUGACCCUCCUAGACUUGUCCCGGCAUAGGUUUAGGGACUUAAGAGUGGCGAUUGUGAUCAUGUAUCAGGAGGGUGUUGGGCGUAGUCAAGGUUUUAUAAGAACGAUUUCCAACUGCACAUAUUCCAUUACUUUAGGUGACAGAGAUUUCGUUUACACUUUACACAUCUUUACGAAAACAGAGCUUCGUUUAUACUUUACACAUAUUUACGACGACAGAGCUUCUUUUACACUUUACACACAUUUACGAAAACAGGGCUUGAACGGAAAAAGUGGGCUGACUGACGAGGGCGUUUUUUAGGGGUUUUGUGAGGGAUCUCUCAAAUUAAAGGAAAGGUGGGCGAUUUGGAACGUCGAGAAGCGGGUGUAGUCAAUUAAGGCAUGCGGUGUCGUAGUGGGUGGGUGGCGUCGGAACGUCUGGGGGUUAAGAGACUGGGCAGGCGACCAGGGAGACUAAGACUCGAUGCGAACUGAACAUUCGGAGAUGAGGUUUUUGGGGUAUAUAGGCCGGGGUGGCUCUCCCCACUCCCAAUCCUAGGCCCACAGGGCCGUAUAGUUGUGAGGUGCUUGUAACUUCGUUACAGUUUAUAUAGUCAAAAGUCAUCUUUAAUUGGUGGCUAUUAAAGUCAUAAAUGCGCUGCAUAUUAUCGUGUCUAAACCAAUUAAUGUGCUUCACAUUAACUUUCGUUUGGAUGAUGCACGAUUUACAUUCGGGGUAGUUAUUGAUCGGAGUAUUUUUGGGAAAGUUGACGGGACGUCACAAAUUCUUUCUUUCUCUUUACACGGAUUUUAUCAAGUCUUCUAUACCUAUAUCGUCGUAGUCGUUUAUAUUUUUUAUAGUUUUGAUUAUAUCAUUGGCUGACAUUUAAUCGAUAUAAAUUGAAACCCAGUGGUUUGCCUAUUUUCUGCACCUCUACCAUUUCUCCUGUAGCUCUCUCUGACUAGGGCAUUUGCGUUAGUUAUCUCGUCAUUCAUAUUAUUUUCCAGUCCAUUCACCUUUGUCAAUAUUAUUUUUAACAGUUUGUCAGAAAGGGAUCAUAGAUUUUUUCGACUAUACCUGUAGAGUGCGAGUCCGUUAACGUCUCGUCUGUUGCGUACCUCUUAUUCUCCCUAUAAUAUCUAAAUUCCAGAUUGCCUAACUUUUUUUUGCCUAACUUUCAUUUGACCAAUAGUUUGAAUCCAAAUUUAUAAUAUCCAAUAAUUUUAUAAAUUUUUUGAACAAAAUAAUUAAUCCUCACAAUUUUCUAAUACUUCUUACAAGCUAAUCUUCUUCACUUACAUCAAAAAUAUUUUUUUACUUUGUUGCGGAGGCGCAUAUCCAUCCCUCCUUGUCUUUUUGCCUCGUUGUUGCAAAGAGAGAAUUACCUAUUUUGAUUGGAAAUAAUGUUUCCUUUUGUCCAAAGAAAAAUCCGACCGAACAAAAACUUCCACUACGGUGACAUUCCACUGCACUUUGCUGCAAUGAAUAAUACUGGAGAUAUGAUUAGCCGCCUAUGAUUGAGAUGGUAGUAUACAUUUGACUCGUUAUUACGAUUAGAACUGGAAUAUGAUCGGCCACUCGGGGAUCUGAAGGUCGUAUAGAAUUGACUAGUUGCCUGUCUUAAAGGUCCGAAAUGCGUACAAAUUGUUUGGUAUGACCACAGGGACUGUUUUCUAACAGAAACUCCCUACUCAUUGACUCCCUUUACUGAGAACUAGGAUAGUUGACGGGCCUUCAAGGAGAAUGUCCAGAAUUACUCUGCGAAAGGUCGAAAGACGAACGGCACUGUUGUCCUACCAGAACUGAUAACUGCUUAAUUGACUACUGAGACUAAGAUUACUUCUCGAUUUAGCACCAGGAUAGUUGACGGGCCUUCAAGAGAAUGUCCGGAAUUAUUCAGCAUGACAUCGAAGGACGAACGGCGCUAUCCGAAUAGCACUGAUAAAUGUAUAAUUGACUAAUAAGACUGAGAUUACUUCUGGAUUCAGCACUAGGAAAGUCGACGGGUCUUCAAGAGAAUGUCCAAAAUUAGUCGGUGUCAUGACGAAGGACGAAGGGCACUGUCCUUUAAACAUAACUCAAAACUGUGUAAAUGAAUACUGACUACUGACAGAAAGGUCGGGAUUAUUGCGUCCAACAUUAAAUAUAUAUAUAUAUAUUUGCAAGGGUGGAUCAGGAUAUUGCUGCUCAAGUUCGCAAGAAAUUCAUAUAUAAUGACAUUUAUUCAAUAGAGAUUUAAUACAUGAAAAUUUUGGCAACUGACAUCAAUAUUUGGAUGAGGGUAGAGAGAGGUUAGAGAGCGAGAGAGUGGUAAUGAGGGAGAUAGAGAGACUUGUACCUUGGGGAAAUCUUCUUGGUAUCACACUGCGAGGACUAGUCACUGGAUGAUAAUUCCCUUGGAGCCCUUGUAUUUUUCUCAUUAGUUGCACUUGAAGCUGGUCCUCCUAGGGAGUGGACCGGUACUUGAUAAGUGAUUGGUGAAUAAAUGGUUUUCCUCAUAAAGUUGACGGGGCUUCUGAUGAAGGGUCCGUAAUUCUUAAUUUCGGUUACUUUAGAUCUCAGAGACCCAAAGCUUUCUGGUCUCAGCUUUUUGAGAAUGAACCAGUCAUGAACUCAACCCUGGUAAACUGAAUAGCCGAAGGAUCGUUGGUGAAUUUGCUUGAGUUGUCGCGGAACUACGGUUGAGUCAGUCGCGGAAACUGAUUUGAAUCUAUCGUGUAACUUGAAUUGAGACUUGACUGUUCCUUCGACGGCGAUUGAGAUUAUCACGGCAGACUGCUACUGAAGAUGUAGGGGUCCAUUCUUUUAUAUGAAGGUGGGUGAAUGUAGGUACCACCCUCUUACUCGUGGUCCUGUAGAACCUUCGACUCCUCCUGGGAGGUAAGAAUAUUGUAUCUUCUAUUGUCCACGUGGGAGCGAUAUUAACUCCCUUUGGGAGGCAGGAAACAUGUAGUGUUAUGGUGCACAUAAGAUCAAUACACACAUAUGAAAUACAAGGGUUUAAACUCCAAAAUAAAGGGGAUGAGUAUCUGCUGGACGGGUGGAUUGAGUGAUGAUGAAUGGUCCGUCUACGUACGGGAAAUCCAAUCUCCUUAAUUCUCUUUUCUCUAUUUAGUAUUUUUACCAUUCAUCCUCAUGUUUUAUUCUUAAAUUUUAAAUACAAUAUACAUCAAAGAUCACGUAAUACCUGACACAAUCCUAUUCUGAAUCCCUCAUCUAGCAAUCCACGAUUAUUUAUCUGAUGCCUGUCAAAGACUUGAUCUGCAAUUUCCUUGAUUCUAGUGGCAUAAGAUAACACACUUUCUUUUCCCCACAUAUUUGUGCUACCUAACUCGCCUUCUAAUUGAUAUACGGUUUCGGAAGGAGACUAAAUUUUCUUCAAUCGAUUCAUUAAUUCGUCUAAUCUAUUAAAAGUCAUACUGUAGAUACUUUUAGAUGCUUUCUCUAUAAUUUUGCUUUGUAUUAUUUUAACUAAAUCUUGUUCAACUGUGGGUAUUGUAGGGAUCAUUUGCUUUUCUUCCUCAAACCCUUUAAUAUAAAGUGCAAGAGUAAUAUUUUUGCCAUCAAAUAUGGGGACUAUUUCUACCGUGUCUUGUAGGAAGACGUGUUAGGUCCUAUAAUGGAAUUAGGAACUUAUAUUGGGAUAUAUGAAAAUGCAUAAUAGUUGCCGUUAGCAGGAUAGAGAUUGAUGCGCUGAUAUCCGGUCGAAGGGGAUUUUAAGAUGAAAUCGCCAAGACCUAGGUAAUAUAUUUAAAAGUCACUCCGUACGUGACACUUCACUUUUAGGCUAGGCCGAUUUCUCGCAGUGAUUCCUAUUGCAAUUUUUUGCAAUUUAAUAAUAAUGAAAAUUGAUUCAUUGCUUAUUUCAACUGUUAUUCAUGAAGGUAUGACAAUUGUAAUUUAUUACUAUAAUAAAUUAGGGCGAUUUCUCGCGCUGGUUCCUACUGCAAUUUUCUUUUUCAAUUCAGUGUAAUUGAAAAUUAAUUUAAUGCUUAUUUUAAUUGUUAUUCAUAAAGGUAUGACAAUUGUAAUUCAUUAUUAUAAUAAAUUAGGUCAACUUCUCGCGCAGGUUAUUACUUCUCCAAUGUGUUGUGUCCUAGGAUGGGAAUGAUAAAACAACUAUCAAUGAAGAUAAAGGGGUAUUACAAAUUAAUUUAAUCUGUUACUUAUUUAAAUUAGGCAAAAGAAAAAUUAGGAAAACAGGCAUUUAAAAGUUAUAGAGAAGAUAAAUGUUACACAACUCAAACAGACUCA